GACGAACGCUGGCGGCGUGCCUAAUACAUGCAAGUUGAGCGAUGAAGAUUGGUGCUUGCACCAAUUUGAAGAGCAGCGAACGGGUGAGUAACGCGUGGGGAAUCUGCCUUUGAGCGGGGGACAACAUUUGGAAACGAAUGCUAAUACCGCAUAACAACUUUAAACAUAAGUUUUAAGUUUGAAAGAUGCAAUUGCAUCACUCAAAGAUGAUCCCGCGUUGUAUUAGCUAGUUGGUGAGGUAAAGGCUCACCAAGGCGAUGAUACAUAGCCGACCUGAGAGGGUGAUCGGCCACAUUGGGACUGAGACACGGCCCAAACUCCUACGGGAGGCAGCAGUAGGGAAUCUUCGGCAAUGGACGAAAGUUUGACCGAGCAACGCCGCGGGAGUGAAGAAGGUUUUCGGAUCGUAAAACUCUGUUGGUAGAGAAGAACGUUGGUGAGAGUGGAAAGCUCAUCAAGUGACGGUAACUACCCAGAAAGGGACGGCUAACUACGUG
rnacentral:rRNA from 1 species